CCUACGGGAGGCAGCAGUGAGGAAUAUUGGUCAAUGGACGAGAGUCUGAACCAGCCAAGUAGCGUGAAGGAUGACUGCCCUAUGGGUUGUAAACUUCUUUUAUAUGGGAAUAAAAUGUACCACUUGUGGGCUUUUGUAUGUACCAUAUGAAUAAGGAUCGGCUAACUCCGUUCCAGCAGCCGCGGUAAUACGGAGGAUGCGAGCGUUAUCCGGAUUUAUUGGGUUUAAAGGGUGCGUAGGCGGAUUUUUAAGUCAGCGGUAAAAUGUCCGGGCUAAACCCGGGCCGGCCGUUGAAACUGGGCAUCUAGAGUGUGCGAGAAGUAUGCGGAAUGCGUGGUGUAGCGGUGAAAUGCAUAGAUA
rnacentral:rRNA from 1 species